GGAGGCAUUUUUUAAAAAUGCAAUCACUUACAGGACAGUUGAUUGUAAAAGUUGUCCUAUAUUUCUUUGAAUCUCUAGAUCCCCAGACCUCAAUCCACCAUUUCUUCCCCCUCUCAAAAGUUCAACCCUCACAAGUGCCUUGGUGUUCUCUCUUCUCUCGCCAUCACCCACUUCAUCGGCGUGUUCGAAGGGGGUCUCGAUUGAGUGACAACCAAAAAUGCACAGUGCUGCUGUUGGGCAACGAUUGGAGGCUUGCUCUCUUUCAAGCAAUUGAAGGCGAUAAAGGGAUGUCGCGUGUGAUGACGAGGAUUCUUGAGCAAAUGGAGAGUGGAUGUGGUUUGGCGGUGCUGAUGAUGCGAUAUUGAUGGGGCUAAGGAUCUCAAGCAUUCUUGUGUCAUCUGGGUUUGCAACUUUGUUCAAUUGGAUGUUUGAUCUGUUGCCACAAGGGGUUAAGCUGAGAAGGGGAUUAGGGGACACUGCAGAAGGGCUGUCUACUUUGUUUUCUGGGAAUCUUGGUGGUUGGAUUGCAACCACCCAAGCACCAUGAAGACAUUGUUUUGUUGCAGCCAAGGUUAGGGGGUUUUCUGGUUGAGCUUUUGGUUUAUUUGGUCACCCCUGAUAAACUGUCAAGUAGUUUUAAUAACAUGCUCUUUCUCCAGUAGAAACUCGACCAUAGGUAUUUAUUAUGUGCUUCAUUUUCACACACACACACACACACACACACACACAUAUAGAUAAAUUCAUGUUAUUUCUUCUUCGAUCAGGUACCUUGGUUAGAAAGUGCGAAGCAACUGGCACAAAACGAACAGUAGGAGAAACAGGUGAAUUUUAUUUUCAUCGUAUAGUUGAAAUUUUAUUAUUGAUGUGAUUUGAACAUGUACAGUUUGAAUGGAAUGUGAGAACAUAGAUCACUAUGUGGUCUGACAACAGGUAGAAAAGUUCUAUGAACUUUGGCGUGAUGUUUAGUACUCUAUGAUUGCAUUUAAAUUGGAAACAAGUACUGGAGUGGGCUUCUACGUGAUUAUUAUGGUGCCAGAGCAGCUAUUUAUUUUAAAUAUUAGAUAGAAAGCUUAGAGAGAGACAAGGAUUUUAGGCUUAAGGAAUGGAGGAGGGAAUGGAUAAAGCUUACCUGUUUAUAUAUUGGUCAUGUAAAAUACCUGUUUAUCACUUUCUUGUAGUUCACUAAAUCUAAUAAUGAUUUGGGACAUAUAAUUUAUUAACCCACGUCAUAAGCACAUGGGGUCCUCAAAACAACAUAGACUUCCUUCCUUUCACUGCCAUACACUCGGCAUGCUGAAGAUAUUCAUCAUGUAAGAGCUGUUAUAUUCCAGAUAA